GCAAAUUGCAAGCCCAAGAUGGGCUUACUCAUGGAAACUAAGCAGUGCUGAGCCUGGUCAGUACCUGGAUGGGAGACCACAUGGGAAAACUAGGUUGCCGUUGGAA
rfam:Danio rerio chromosome 5, GRCz11 reference primary assembly.